GCCAACUGCUGUUCUGAAGUUCUGGACUUGCACAGCAAGCCUGUCUACUGAAUGGCCAUCACGACCCAGAUUUCACAUCUCCAGUGACUGCCAUGUCAACAAGGCAACUGUAGACCUCCCUCAGAGGAGGCAGGUGAAAGAAGACAGCCUUUCGGGGCAACUCUCUGGCUAAUGGGAAGCACAUUGAUGAAGGAAGCCGACUGACUUGAAAAAUCCAGCACCAGCAUGCAGGCUGCCUUUAAGGCUGGAGGAUUAUGGCCACUUGCAAUUUUCUUGCUAAUUAAAGUUUUCAUAGGAAAAGCAAA